rnacentral:rRNA from 1 species
AUUGAACGCUGGCGGCAGGCCUAACACAUGCAAGUCGAACGAGGGGCGGACGGGUGAGUAAUGUGUGGGAAACUGCCUGAUGGAGGGGGAUAACUACUGGAACCGGUAGCUAAUCGCGCAUAACAUCAGGUGUUCCCAGAUGGGAUUAGCUAGGAGGUGGGGUAAAGGCUCACCUAGGCGACGAUCCCUCGCUGGUCUGAGAGGAUGACCAGCCACACUGGAACUGAGACACGGUCCAGACUCCUACGGGAGGCAGCAGUGGGGAAUAGUGCACAAUGGGCGCAAGCCUGAUGCAGCCAUGCCGCGUGUAUGAAGAAGGCCUUCGGGUUGUAAAGUACUUUCAGCGGGGAGGCGUUACCCGCAGAAGAAGCACCGGCUAACUCCGUGCCAGCAGCCGCGGUAAUAC